rnacentral:miRNA from 1 species
UAGAGUAUAUUUGUCAGAAGUUUCAUCACUUUCAUCUCCUAAAUAAACUGUAACUCAAUAGAUACUGAAGUGAGUUAAAAAAUGUAUUAAUAUUUAUGAUGCUCUGAAUAGAUUUAGAACUUGAAAUAGGUUAUGGCAUAGAAGUUAG